CAGCACUCAACACGCUUGCUACAGGGUUUUCCACUUAUACAAUACGUUUCAUGUCGGACCAUCACUUAGCUGGUUUGAGGUUUCACCACGUAUGGCCUUCGCCUCUUUUUUGCCACCUUAAGUUAAUAAUUCUCGCACAACACGGUUAAACUUUAUCUCACGGGCAUUCAACACUAUACGUAUUUCUCCAUCCCUAACAACAAGGCUUCCUAUCCUCCUACCCCAUACAUACCUUACUUAGAGACAUGGCCAAGCGGACGUUCCUGCUAAAACUAAAUACUGGCCAUAGA